UCCGGUUUGUCACCGGCAGUCUCCCUAGAGUUCCCACCGUUACGUGCUGGCAAAUAGGGACAAGGGUUGCGCUCGUUACGGGACUUAACCCAACAUUUCACAACACGAGCUGACGACAGCCAUGCAGCACCUGUCUGUGCGCUCCCGAAGGCACCCCGGAAUCUCUUCCGGGUUCGCACGAUGUCAAGGGUAGGUAAGGUUCUUCGCGUUGCAUCGAAUUAAACCACAUGCUCCACCGCUUGUGCGGGCCCCCGUCAAUUCAUUUGAGUUUUAACCUUGCGGCCGUACUCCCCAGGCGGUCGACUUAUCGCGUUAACUUCGCCACAAAGUGCUCGAGGCACCCAACGGCUAGUCGACAUCGUUUACGGCGUGGACUAC
rnacentral:misc_RNA from 1 species